rnacentral:rRNA from 1 species
AGGUGGUGCAUGGUUGUCGUCAGCUCGUGUCGUGAGAUGUUGGGUUAAGUCCCGCAACGAGCGCAACCCUUAUCUUCAGUAGCCAGCAGGUAAAGCUGGGGACUCUGGAGAGACUGCCGGGGAUAACCCGGAGGAAGGCAGGGAUGACGUCAAAUCAUCAUGCCCCUUAUGUCCAGGGCUACACACGUGCUACAAUGGCGUAAACAAAGGGAAGCGAAGGGGUGACCCGGAGCGAAUCCCAAAAAUAACGUCUCAGUUCGGAUUGUAGUCUGCAACUCGACUACAUGAAGCCGGAAUCGCUAGUAAUCGCGGAUCAGAAUGCCGCGGUGAAUACGUUCCCGGGUCUUGUACACACCGCCCGUCACACCAUGGGAGUUGUUAACGCCCGAAGCCGGUGGCCGAACCUGAAAAGGAGGGAGCCGUCGAAGGCGGGAACAAUAACUGGGGUGAAGUCGUAACAAGGUAGCCGUAUCGGAAGGUGCGGCUGGAUCACCUCCUUUCUAAGG